CUUCUUCAUUGAUUGUAACUCAAGUUUUUCGGAGAUCUUCCUCCCCUUUCACUCAAACUUGUUGAUUUUGGGGGACUCAAAGACAAAUUGGAGACUCAUAGACGGUUGGAGUCCUCGGGGAGAAAAUGAUUUGUGAUUUUUCCCGUCGUCUGUGAAGGUUUUGAGAUCGCCUCAAGGAGAUUUGCUGCUGGUUGGAAUGCUUCCGGGGUGUCAUGAUCAUUCUUCCUGGAAUAGAAUAAUCGAGUGCAAUAUGGGCUAAAACAAUGAGGGGCCUCGCAGGGAAGACAACCAGGAGACUUAAAGAUGAAGUCGGAAGAGCCACGAGGCGGCCACAAGGACGGAGGGUGCGCACCCCACACUUGUGGGCCCCACGUGCACCCCCAGACCUAAUUUCUUCGGCUAUAUAUUUCCAUAUACCCCCAAACCAACAGAGGCAUCCACGAAAACAUUUUUCCGCCGCCGCAACCUUGUGUACUCAUGAGAUUCUGUCAAGGGACCUUUUCUGGCGUCCUGCCGGAGGGGGAUUCGAUCAUGGAGG